UCCUGCCUCUCCCGUGAGCCACCAUGGCUGGCUCGUCGCCGUGAGAGACCAUGCCUACUCCGUCGUCGAGCCAAACUCGCGAAGGGAACAACGAGAGCCAAGGAUCCUAGGCCACCGUCGAACCAUGAGCGUCGCCGAGAUAAGACCAGAGUGACGCCGCUCCCUGUCGCUCAGAUUGAGGGCAGUUGCCUGGAACCUCGCCGGCAUCAAACUCCGCCGCGGUGUUGCCGAGCGCCGCCGUGUCGGACGAGCGAAGAAAGAGAGAGAAGAAGGGGUUAGCGUGUCUGCGGGGAGAAACAACUCCGGCCACCCGCAUCCGGUAGCAAGGUAUGAAUCACCUCCAUGGUUUCUGUUGAGCACCAUAUUGAGCGGGCGGACGGUCCGGCCCUGAGGCCGGACGGUCCGCGGUCCGGACAGUCCGCGCCUGUGGGCCGGACGGUCCGUGCAUGCGCAGAGCAGUUUAGGGUUCCGAGUUUUGUGCUAUGUUUGUUGGCUAGAUUUGCGGAAUUAACCCGGAAUCCAGUCGUGUAAAGGGUCCAGCCCCCCUCCUCUAUAUAAAGAGAGGUCUACGGCCGAUUUGUAAUCAACAAUCGAAUCAAUACAACUUCUACUUCGCAUUUUAUCUUAGGAGUAGUUCUAGUCUAGUUUAGGUUUAGCCUCUCGAUCCCCAAAUUCUCCGCCUCUCUUCGACUAUACGCCGAUUAGAGGAGUCUAGGUCGGUCGGCCCGAGCCUAGACAACCCCUAGGAUCUCUCCUCCCCGACGGGGUCCCUCCCGGGAGCGAGAUCCAGGCGCCGCCGGUGAUCUUCCGCCGCCCCUGCGCACGCGCGGACCGUCUGACCCCAGGGCGCGGACCGUCCGGCCGUCAGGCAGGAAACCCUAGCCCCUGUGCCAGGUCGCGGACCGUCCGGCCCCAGGCCGCGGACCGUCCGCCCCUGACCAGAGAGCACCGCCGCCUCGCACCAGGUCGCGGAUCGUCCGGCCCUGUGCCGCGGACCGUCCGCCCCUGUGCAGAGAGCACCGCCGCUGGUUCUCUUGAGUAAUUGGCGCCUCCAAAAAGGCGUCAACAGUUUCUCCUUGCUCAUCGCGCCGCCGGACAAUGCUUUGGGUAGCUCUGCAAUGGCGCCACCACGCCAGACCACGCGCCGUCGCUGAACGUCGAGUGAAGAAGAAACACUAUGGCCAUGGAUCUCGGAUCCAAUGGCUCUGGGCGUACCGGUUCGCUUAAAUUUCAGGAUCUAAUCCGGGCCCUUGAUCCUUCAUCGGGCGGCCCCGGUUGUCCUGUACCCCUUCAGGCCACCGAUUUGCAAAAGAGCCCCUGUGAUUUUUCGUAUUCAACUCGUCGUCCUGUGCGGGGGAAUCCUGAGUCUUAUGAUCUUUUGCGAGAUGGCCCCUGUGUUUCUCUGUUAUUGGCGCCCAGUCCAGAGUUCCAGGAAAAUCAGAUUAAUGAAUUUAGAAUUUGAUUUUCAAUAAAAAAAUAAUACUAGGAACUUGUAUAAUUCAUAGAAAAUCCAUAUUAAGUCCAAAUUAGUCCAUUCCAGUUCCUAUAACUUUGUAAUAUUAUUGUUUAUAAUUUUGUGCCUCUGUUUUGACAUAAAAGCCACAUUAAAAUUGUUAUCUUAAUUAAUCUUGUACAAAGCACAUAGAAUCUUUGGAAAAUCCAUAACUUAAAAUCUAUAAAUACAAAAUUAAUAAUUCAUGUUCCUAUGAUCUUAUUUCAAUAUGUAGAUUAUUAAUAUAUAUAUUGCAUAUAUUUUUGGUGUAAUGUUUAUUUUGCCUAUACACCAUUUGUUUGUAAUGCUACGACUAGCGCGAGGCCACGAGUCAUCUGAAAAGCAAGUUGGUACCUGGAAUCUCAAGUCCCAGGCAAGUUGUGCCAUUGAUCACUUCUUUUUACCCACUCAUGUUCUAAUUAAUCAUAAUGAUCUGCAUAGGUUAAUUUUGAUGGGACCCAAUAGGAUACCCUAGUUUGUCUAUCUUUAUACCUUGUUUACCACUGAACUUUCUGGGUAGUACUUGCUAGUGCUAUAUGUGGUUUUGGGUAUGGAGAUACAUUAUUCAUGAUUACACUUUUGUUAUCAGUUGUUAUUUACUGUUCAUGAUAAGAUCAUUAUGUUAAUUGGAACAUGGAGAACCACCCGGGAAAACAGUGCUACCACAAGGGUUUAAUGGGACGCCCUUGGCUGAUUAAUUAGGAAAGCUAGUGGAUGACUACCUUACCCGAAAGGGGCAAGGGCAGUAGGGGAGUGGUCAGUGUAGGGAGGCCCUUGGGAUGAUUUUGCUGCGAUGGCGGUCAUGCGAGGGAUUCCUGCAUUGGAGCUUCCUAUAAACUGUAGCGGGUUUUCUGAAGCUAGUGGAACUUUGUAAAGGCCUCGUAGUGUUACCCUGCCUCGCCUCCUCGAUAGAGGUGUAUGGGAUUGGCCGUCUCUUGGCAGAUGGGUAACAUGACUUGUGGGUAAAGAUGCGCAACCUCUGCAGAGUGUAAAACUGGUAUACUAGCCGUGCUCACGGUCAUGAGCAGCUCGGACACUCACAUGAUUAAUUUAUGGAACUAAAUUCAAUUUGUCAUAUGCAUUGCAUCGCAGGUGAUGUUGUUAUUACUUUUGUUCUACUACUUAAUUGGGUUGGUAUUUACCUAUACUUAGUAACUGCUAAUAAAAUUUUGACCAACUUUAAAAGCAAUGCUCAACUCUAACCAUCCUCUUUGGUAAGCCUUACACUUCACGUGAGCUCCCACCUUUGGCGAGUUCAUGCACAUUAUUCCCCACAACUUGUUGAGCUAUGAACGUAUGUGAGCUCACUCUUGUUGUCUCACACCCCCCACAGGUCAAGAACAGGUACCACAGGAUGAGGCACAUGGAGGAUGCUGCGAUGUGUUCGUGAGAGGUCUAGGUCGUCGUCUCCCAGUCAACUUUGGGUUGUUGGACCAUUGUCUCCUUAUAAUGUAAUUAUUUAUUUAUUUUGUACAGAACUUCUAUUAUAUAGCAAAUAUGUGACAUUCGAUCUUGUGCCAUGAUUCAUCAUAUGUGUGAGACUUGGUCUCAGCAUACCUGGUGAUUAUGUUCGCGCCCGGGUCUUGGUGCCCCGAAACCCAGGUGUGACAGCUAUGAACUCUCGUUCACUAGCUUGGGCAAAGGAAGCUAGAGCUCGAGCUUGAGUGGAAGAGCUUAGCUCAACCGUGGAUAGCUUGCAGGUUUAUUGCAACACACUACAUGAAGAAGUUCAUGUACUGUACUCGCAACUACACCCGAACGUCCCUGCGGAUCCUGUCAGGACAGAAGCCGGACCUUCUCAGGUAGCGGGAGAAGCUUUUGUUGGUGAGCUGGACCUUUUUAGGCCCCCUCCCUCUAUGAAGCUGGUCGAUGAAUGGUCUUCGACGCCUGACAGCGAGGCUACCCAGAGUGACAAAAAGUAGGAAUAGUAUAGUACAGAAGUAGUACUAUUGUGUAAUAGGGGGUGUAAUCCUAUUGUAAAGUACAAGUUUGUAACAUUACUUUUUUUAAGUAAUGUGAAAUGGAUGGUUUG
rnacentral:lncRNA from 1 species